GUCGAACGCUGGCGGCGUGCCUAAUACAUGCAAGUCGACCUUGGUUGCGACCUGGUGAUCAACACGUUGGUAACCUGCCCAUCCGAAGGGGAUAACACAUUGAAACAGGUGCUCAUACCGUAUAUUGCUGGAUGGACCCGCGGUGCAUUAGCUAGUUGGUGAGGUAACGGUUCACCAAGGCCACGAUGCAUAGCCGGCCGGAGAGGUGGAUCGGCCACAUUGGGACGGAGAAACGGCCCAAACUCCUACGGGAGGCAGCAGUAGGGAAGUUUCGGAAAUGGACGAAAGUCUGACCGAGCCACGCCGCGUGAGUGAAGAAGGUUUUCGGAUCGUAAAACUCUGUUGUUAGAGAAGCGGUAUCUAACCAGAAAGCAACGGCUAACUACGUGCCAGCAGCCGCGGUAAUUC
rnacentral:rRNA from 1 species